UACGAAGGGGGCGAGCGUUGUUCGGAAUUACUGGGCGUAAAGGGCGCGUAGGCGGCGACUCAAGUUAGAUGUGAAAGUCCUGGGCUUAACCUGGGGACUGCAUUUGAUACUGGGUUGCUUGAAUUCGGGAGAGGAUAGCGGAAUUCCCAGUGUAGAGGUCAAAUUCGUAGAUAUUGGGAAGAACACCGGUGGCGAAGGCGGCUAUCUGGACCGACAUUGACGCUGAGGCGCGAAAGCGUGGGGAGCAAACAGG
rnacentral:rRNA from 1 species